rnacentral:sRNA from 1 species
GAUGCCUCUAGUCCUGCAUCAUCCAGAGCGGCAGGCGGAGCUGGGGUCCGGACUGCGAGAUGGAGGAGGGGCGGCGCUGCGGCCACCCGGCAGGAGACAGACGCAAUAAAAGGAAGUUAACAUACUGGUAUCAAGUAUUGGACAAGACUUUUUACACACAGUAAAAUUCAUUCACUGAUACAACCAUUUUAUGAAACUGGUCAAACAAAUGGAUUUUACAGAGGCUUAUGCGGACACAUGCUCUACAGUUGGACUUGCUGCCAGGGAAGGCAAUGUUAAAGUCUUAAGGAAACUGCUCAAAAAGGGCCGAAGUGUCGAUGUUGCUGAUAACAGGGGAUGGAUGCCAAUUCAUGAAGCAGCUUAUCACAACUCUGUAGAAUGUUUGCAAAUGUUAAUUAAUGCAGUUGUCCCGCCAUAUCCACAGGGAAUUGGUCCCAAAAUGUCCACGGACACCAAAAUUCAUGGAUGCUCCUCAAGUUCGGCAGUCUGCCCUGAAGAUAGGAAAAUGUCCUAUACACACAUACAAAAAAUUCAUCUGAAAACUACAUUAAGAUGA